UACGGGGGGGCAAGCGUUGUUCGGAAUUACUGGGCGUAAAGGGCGCGUAGGCGGCCUGCUAAGUCGGACGUGAAAUCCCUCGGCUCAACCGGGGAACUGCGUCCGAUACUGACAGGCUCGAAUCCGGGAGAGGGAUGUGGAAUUCCAGGUGUAGCGGUGAAAUGCGUAGAUAUCUGGAGGAACACCGGUGGCGAAGGCGGCAUCCUGGACCGGUAUUGACGCUGAGGCGCGAAAGCCAGGGGAGCAAACGGG
rnacentral:misc_RNA from 1 species